GACGGAGGGUGCUAGCGUUGUUCGGAAUUACUGGGCGUAAAGGGCGCGUAGGCGGCCUGGUCAGUCGGAUGUGAAAGCCCGGGGCUCAACCCCGGAACGGCAUCCGAGACGGCCAGGCUGGAGACCGGGAGAGGAGAGUGGAAUAGCCAGUGUAGAGGUGAAAUUCGUAGAUAUUGGGUGGAACACCGGUGGCGAAAGCGGCCCCCUGGCCCGGUCCUGACGCUGAGGCGCGAAAGCGUGGGGAGCAAACGGG
rnacentral:rRNA from 1 species